AUACGGAGGGUCCAAGCGUUAUCCGGAAUCAUUGGGUUUAAAGGGUCCGCAGGCGGUCAAUUAAGUCAGAGGUGAAAGCCCAUCGCUCAACGAUGGAACUGCCUUUGAUACUGGUUGACUUGAGUUAUACGGAAGUAGAUAGAAUAAGUAGUGUAGCGGUGAAGUGCAUAGAUAUUACUUAGAAUACCGAUUGCGAAGGCAGUCUACUACGUAUAUACUGACGCUGAGGGACGAAAGCGUGGGGAGCGAACAGGAUUAGAAACCCUAGUAGUCC
rnacentral:rRNA from 1 species